rnacentral:lncRNA from 1 species
GGGUUUGUUGUUGGAGAUUUUUUACUUUAAUUAUUUUAUUCUUCUUCGAUUUAUUUGCCUUCUAAAUUUGAGUUAUUAUGAUUUAGUGGUUUUGGCUUAACUACCAUGGUGGAGACGGGGUAGGUUCCAUCAUGAAUCUUGGAAUUUGGUUCGUGAUAUCUAGCACUACUAGAUCUAAUUCUUAUGCUCUUGACCUUAUCGAUAAGUUUGGUCGUAUUAUUUUUAGGGAAAAUAGUUUGAUGACCACUUUGGGCGUAGCCCUAGAAUAGUUGUGUGUGGAUCUGGUUUCGCUUGCCUCACAUUAUUGGUUGAUGUGUUUUAUCGGGGUGGGGGGUGGGGGAAUAGUCAAUAUGAAUAGAAGUGAAGUGCCAGAUUUGGUCUUGGAUGCCAAAGUCUACACGAUUAAAGUCAUUACCAACUUGAUAAAGUAGGUAAUCACGCUGGAAGGUGAGGCAGAAGCCAUAAAAAACCAUCAGAUAGAAUCCUAACUUAUACGAAAAGUGUUAGAAACCAUCUUGUUUGAAACAAAGUUAGACCUGUAUACAUCACGAGUACUAAGGGAGAAGGUCGUGAUUGGAUUCACUAAGAUACAUACUUGCCUAGACCAAAGUUCAGGUCCUGGGAGCUUGACUAAGUUGCCUUUAUGAUAUCACCAGAGCUAGUGAGUAUUUCCCUUUAUCGCAUCUAUUGGGGAAUCUUGGAACCCAGAUCUAAGACAGAAGGAGAUGGAAAAAGACGCAUAGGUUCCAAUGCUAAGUGAUUGUAAUAAAGUCUCAUGGAAGUAUCGAAAGAAGGGAAGCUAGAUCUAGCUGUAUUGCACCAUAUCUGUGGGAAAAAUGUAAAUAUGAUCAUUAUAGAAGAAGAAAUUGAAGGUUUGACCCUGUUGUUGAAAAAGGAAUCCAAGAUCUCAAUCAAUUUAUUGAAAACACUAAUCUUGAGAGAGAUUUUAUGACCAUCAUUGGUGAGACUCGACUUAUACAGGCAUCUGAUAUACCCACACCUUAAUAAAUUCCCUCAAAAUCGCAAAUGACAACGU